AAGACUAUAGACCUGCGGAGUACCUGCGGAAGGAUCAUUACAGAGUUUUCUAAACUCCCAAACCUUUGUGAACUUACCACUGUUGCCUCGGCGGAAGCUAUUGGGGUUACCCUGUAGCGACCGCCGGUGGACCAACCCAACUCUUGUAAUUUUGAGAAAUCUGAGAGUCUUAUACAAAUAAGUCAAAACUUUUAACAAUGGAUCUCU
rnacentral:misc_RNA from 1 species